rnacentral:rRNA from 1 species
GAACGCUAGCUACAGGCUUAACACAUGCAAGUCGAGGGGCAGCGCAGUGUAGCAAUACAUGGGCGGCGACCGGCGCACGGGUGCGUAACGCGUAUCCAACCUUCCCGUUACUCAGGGAUAGCCUUCCGAAAGGGAGAUUAAUACCUGAUGGUAUUCAAAUUUCGCAUGUUAUUUGAAUUAAAGUUUCGACGGAUACGGAUUGGCUCGCGUGACAUUAGCUAGAUGGUAAGGUAACGGCUUACCAUGGCGACGAUGUCUAGGGGUUCUGAGAGGAAGGUCCCCCACACUGGAACUGAGACACGGUCCAGACUCCUACGGGAGGCAGCAGUGAGGAAUAUUGGACAAUGGAUGGAAAUCUGAUCCAGCCAUGCCGCGUGAAGGAAUACGGUCCUAUGGAUUUUAAACUUCUUUUGUAUGGGAGCAAUAAGGUGUACGCGUACAUCGAUGAGAGUACCAUACGAAUAAGCAUCGGCUAACUCCGUG